ACUCCGGUAAGCUUGCCUGGAGAAGCCCAUGGACAGAGGAGCCUGGCGGGCUACGGUCCAUACAAUCACAAAGAGUUGGAGACGACUGAAGCAACUUAGCGUGGGAGUUUUUAAAGAGCUCCUCAGAUGACUCUAGUCCUUAGCCAGGAUAACCUGUUUGAGAAAUUUGCUCUGGUACCUUCCCAUGGACUUAACAGGAAAGGAUGAGAUGACCCUUCUGGAGUGUAUCAGCAGCUGAGAAGGCACUGCAAAUAGGCAUCUGCUCUCUGGGUACUGCAGGGUGCCCUCCAACACGUCGACCUCCAGCAGCACGUGGUGAAUCUUCCUCAGCUCUGUCUCAUCAGGUUCCUGCUUGUGAAUCAGCCCUUUGGUACUUUGCCAGACGCAGUGUAUCUGCUACCUCCAGGAGCACUGCUCACUCCACCUUGAGUAUCACGCACUGAGAAGUUUGGAUUGAAGUGUACUGGGU
ensembl:lncRNA